rnacentral:rRNA from 1 species
UGGGGAAUUUUGGACAAUGGGGGAAACCCUGAUCCAGCCAUCCCGCGUGUGCGAUGAAGGCCUUCGGGUUGUAAAGCACUUUUGGCAGGAAAGAAACGUCAUGGGUUAAUACCCCGUGAAACUGACGGUACCAGCAGAAUAAGCACCGGCUAACUACGUGCCAGCAGCCGCGGUAAUACGUAGGGUGCAAGCGUUAAUCGGAAUUACUGGGCGUAAAGCGUGCGCAGGCGGUUCGGAAAGAAAGAUGUGAAAUCCCAGAGCUCAACUUUGGAACUGCAUUUUUAACUACCGGGCUAGAGUGUGUCAGAGGGAGGUGGAAUUCCGCGUGUAGCAGUUAAAUGCGUAGAUAUGCGGAGGAACACCGAUGGCGAAGGCAGCCUCCUGGGAUAACACUGACGCUCAUGCACGAAAGCGUGGGGAGCAAACAGG